GGGGUUUUAGGGGAUAACUCCCCUAAACAGGGCUUUGGCCCCUGGGACCAGGGUUCGAAUCCCUGCCCGGCUA
rnacentral:tRNA from 1 species